GGGCUGCAGAACCUUCCGCCGGAGAAGAUGUCUCACGUCUUGCACAUCGUUCGGAAGGGGAACGUGAGCACAACGCAGAACGGGGACGAGAUCGAGCUGGACAUCGACACCAUGGACACGGAGACGCUUUGGGCGCUCGAUCGGUUCCUGUGCAACUGCAAGAAGAUGAUGAGCAAGAUGAAGAGGCAGGAGGCGAUCGCCAACGGGCUGCUGCUACAUGCUGGCCAUUCCGCCGCAGUUGCCGACGCCCAACUUCCAGCUGAAGGCGGUGGCGAGAUGGUAAUGGCUAGGAUCCUCUCUCUCUUGGUCUCUGCUCGAUGGAUGAAGCCUCGGAGUACUAACCUGGUCAUGCUAUUGGGCAGUCUCCGGUGCUGGUGGAUGCGUCAGAAGUAGUUGCAGCGAAAAAGAGCAAGAAAGGAGACACCGCCGAGGAGGAUGUCGACAUUGGU
rnacentral:lncRNA from 1 species